rnacentral:snoRNA from 1 species
CACAUCUAUUUGACAGGGCUGGAGUGGUUAUUUCUGCUGUUAAGAGUUGCACUAUAGAUGCAAGAAAAAAGUGUCCUUUCAUUUUCUGUCCCUCUGGUUGUGGCAGCCAAGAUUGAGUGGGGGAAUACAGGA